ACCCGAACUCUGGAGGAAAACACGCCGUGGUUGCAGAGGAGGAAAACAACAUUAUCACUUUACUUGGAUUUAUCACUUUAAUUGGACUUUUCACUUUAUUUGGAUUUAGUUUUUACAUAUGCAUAGAUAUACGUACAGAUAUAUAUACAGAAGAGCUAUAUGUGUGGCCAUGUUUUGCUGUUUCUGUGGACAAAAUCUAGGAACAAUUCAAGUUUUCUGUUUUUCAUGUGGGAAGAAUGUGCAGAUCUUGGCACAAGCUCAAGACACUGAUUCAAGGAUGGCCUUUCAACACUGAACUUCCAGAAUGCUUUGGAGCAGCAUGCUUCCAUCUUCAGGCCAUUUAU